UGUCUAAGUAUAGCAAUUAUACCGUGAAACUGCGAAUGGCUCAUUAAAUCAGUUAUCGUUUAUUUGAUAGUACCUUACUACUUGGAUACCCGUGGUAAUUCUAGAGCUAAUACAUGCUAAAAACCCCGACUUCGGGAGGGGUGUGUUUAUUAGAUAAAAAACCAACGCCCUUCGGGGCUCCUUGGUGAUUCAUGAUAACCUCUCAGAUCGCACGGCCUUGCGCCGGCGACGGUUCAUUCAAAUUUCUGCCCUAUCAACUUUCGAUGGUAAGGUAUUGGCUUACCAUGGUUUCAACGGGUAACGGGGAAUUAGGGUUCGAUUCCGGAGAGUGAGCCUGAGAAACGGCUCACACAUCCAAGGAAGGCAGCAGGCGCGCAAAUUACCCAAUCCCGACACGGGGAGGUAGUGACAAUAAAUACUGAUACAGGGCUCUUUUGGGUCUUGUAAUUGGAAUGAGUACAAUUUAAACCUCUUAACGAGGAACAAUUGGAGGGCAAGUCUGGUGCCAGCAGCCGCGGUAAUUCCAGCUCCAAUAGCGUAUAUUAAAGUUGUUGCAGUUAAAAAGCUCGUAGUUGAAUCUUUGGCCUGGCUGGCGGGUCCGCCUCACCGCGUGCACUUGUCCGGCCGGGCCUUCUCUUCUGGAGAACCGCAUGCCCUUCACUGGGCGUGUUGGGGACCAGGACUUUUACUUUGAAAAAAUUAGAGUGUUCAAAGCAGGCCUUUGCUCGAAUACGUUAGCAUGGAAUAAUAGAAUAGGACGUGCGGUCCUAUUUUGUUGGUUUCUAGGACCGCCGUAAUGAUUAAUAGGGACAGUCGGGGGCAUCAGUAUUCAAUUGUCAGAGGUGAAAUUCUUGGAUUUAUUGAAGACUAACUACUGCGAAAGCAUUUGCCAAGGAUGUUUUCAUUAAUCAGUGAACGAAAGUUAGGGGAUCGAAGACGAUCAGAUACCGUCGUAGUCUUAACCAUAAACUAUGCCGACUAGGGAUCGGGCGGUGUUAUCGAUUUGACCCGCUCGGCACCUUGCGAGAAAUCAAAGUGUUUGGGUUCUGGGGGGAGUAU
rnacentral:rRNA from 1 species